UACGAAGGGGGCUAGCGUUGUUCGGAAUUACUGGGCGUAAAGGGCGCGUAGGCGGCGUGUCAAGUCAGGCGUGAAAGCCCCGGGCUCAACCUGGGAACCGCGCUUGAGACUGGCAUGCUCGGAGUUCGGGAGAGGAUGGUGGAAUUCCCAGUGUAGAGGUGAAAUUCGUAGAUAUUGGGAAGAACACCGAUGGCGAAGGCAGCCAUCUGGACCGACACUGACGCUGAGGCGCGAAAGCGUGGGGAGCAAACAGG
rnacentral:rRNA from 1 species